GACAGAAACACGCACUGCCAGGGCCGCAGACUUGGAAAACCAAGUGCUACUGCAGAUGGGUUCCUUCAAGGCAGGGACUAGGCUGGGGCUGAGCUGGGGUCCUGCUCUCCGGGCCCACCUCUGAUGGAGAAGCGGCCACCCUGUCCCAGCAGGCUCUUUAGUGACGGAUCUCUAGGGCCAGGCUGGCCAAGGCUGGCCCUACUCAAUAGCUGGGGCUUCAGCUUUGGGCACGGCCCACGAGGCUGCGCAAAGGGAAUUUUCCACUGCCAGGUUUCAUUCCGCUCACGACACCGCCUGACUGUUUACAGCGAGCGGAAAGGUGCAGCCACCCCCGGGCGCAGCCUUGGUGGGAUGCGAGGGUGGAUAACAGGAGUUCUUGUGUGUCCUGACCCUGGCGGCUGCACCCUGGAGUGCUGGGGUGCGCGGAGGCGCUGUACCCAGAGAGGAGCAGGGCCCUGGGAGCAGUAGAGGGCACAGGAAGCCACUGCGUGGCUGCGUGGCUGCCCUGCCGCCCUCCCUCCCUCCCUCUCUCCCUCUCUCCCUUGGAUGCUCCCUUGCCUGGGACUGAGAGAUGUCCCGCGUGGGUGCAGAGCCUGCAGGGGGAACUCACCACGAAUGUAGGACUUUAAGACCCCAAGCUCAGAUUCUACAACGCCCAUGGGAUCAAGAGGUGUGCAGUCCCCUUCUCCCCUUCCCCCCCCCCGAAAAACGUCAGUAUCUGGUUGGCCAUAGCACCCCAAAGGUCAUUAAGGUGGCUCCAAAACGCUUUGGGAGUGGAGAGGAAGAACGAAAUAAACUGUUCCUGGUUUGACCCUAAACAACUUAA